GGUUGUGAGGGCAAUCUGGCUGCGACAUCCGUCACUCCAUUGAUUGCCAGGGUUGAUUUGGCUGAUCUGGCUGGGCUAGGCAGGUGUCCCCUUCCUCCCUCACCCCUCCAUAUGCGUCCCUCCCAAAGCUGCACACUGGGUCAAAGAGGACUACCAUCCCUGAUAGAAGGGGACUGGUCUUCGGUCAGGGGUGUAUGACUAGCUGUGCUCCUCUGUUAGAACUGCCAAACAAGCUCUCAAGGUCCAUUUAGUAAAAAUGCAUGCAGUAUAUUGGAAAUGGAAGAAAACUAUUACUUUAAUUAGAUAGAGUAUCUACAAAUAAAAG
rnacentral:snRNA from 1 species